rnacentral:rRNA from 1 species
AUUUCUGCUCCAUGGUUUUACUAAAUAGCCGCAGUACUCUGACUGUGCAAAGGUAGCAUAAUCAAUUGGCUCCUAAUUAGAGUCUGGGAUGAAUGAAUAUAUGGAAAUAAGCUGUCUUAAUAUAUUAUUAUUAAAUUGGUAGUAAGUGCAAAUCCUUACGUAGAUAUUAAAGACGAGAAGACCCUAGAAGCUUUAGUAAUUAUUUUGUUGGGGCGACAGAACUACAAAAUAACUAGUUUUACAUAACAUGACGUGUACUGGAAGAAUAAGCUACUCUAGGGAUAACAGCAUAAUGUGACCGUUUGUGACCUCGAUGUUGGACUAGGUAAAGAAUCCUUUAGAAGAGGAUAAAUUUGGCGCUGUUCGAGCAGGAAAACCU